rnacentral:rRNA from 1 species
UACGAAGGGGGCUAGCGUUGCUCGGAAUCACUGGGCGUAAAGCGCACGUAGGCGGACUCUUAAGUCGGUGGUGAAAUCCUGGAGCUCAACUCCAGAACUGCCUUCGAUACUGAGAGUCUCGAGUCCGAGAGAGGUGAGUGGAAUUCCUGGUGUAGCGGUGAAAUGCGCAGAUAUCAGGAAGAACACCCGUGGCGGAGGCGGCUCUCUGGGACGGUACUGACGCUGAGACGCGAAAGCGUGGGGAGCGAACAGG